UAUGAACGCUAGCGGCAGGCCUAAUACAUGCAAGUCGAACGGCAAGUUGAAUAGCAAUAUUUGACCUAGAGUGACGUACGGGUGCGUAACACGUAUGCAACCUACCCAAAACAGGAGUAUAGCUCGGGGAAACUCGAAUUAACCCUCCAUGAGAUAGUAGUGAGGCAUCUCACAGUUAUUAAAACUCAGGUGGUUUUGGAUGGGCAUGCGUCUGAUUAGUUAGNGGCGGGGUAAUGGCCCACCAAGGCGAUGAUCAGUAGGGGAACUGAGAGGUUGAUCCCCCACACUGGC
rnacentral:rRNA from 1 species